UACAGAGGGUGCGAGCGUUAAUCGGAAUUACUGGGCGUAAAGCGUGCGUAGGCGGCUUUGCAAGUCGGGUGUGAAAUCCCCAGGCUUAACCUGGGAACUGCAUUCGAGACUGCAUUGCUAGAGUAUGGGAGAGGGAAGUGGAAUUUCCGGUGUAGCGGUGAAAUGCGUAGAUAUCGGAAGGAACAUCAGUGGCGAAAGCGACUUCCUGGACCAAUACUGACGCUCAUGUGCGAAAGCGUGGGAGCAAACAGG
rnacentral:rRNA from 1 species